CGCGCAUGAAACACGACAGCAAGAACAACACCGACCGUAUUUCAUCCAACAAAGCCAAAAAAAAAAAAAAAUCCAAUAUUUUCAAGUUGCCUGCCGCCCCUUUUUUUCCUGCCGGGCUGAGUAAAUGGAACGAGAGGACUCAGUUUGUGAAUUCAAUUGAUGGCUUCAGUUUCUUAAACAGCUAUAUGAGGCACUGGCUGAUCAGUUGACAGGGAAUAGUUGUCAAUUGAUGGCUUCUGCUACACUCAACUAAAUGUAAAACUAACAACGAGUUUGGAUGUGAUCGGUGCUUUGCAUGCGGAAACCAGAGGAAGCUAUUGACCUGUUUAUGGUAGAGAUCCUGCACAUGCGCCUAGUACUUUGUUGAUAUUUGCAGCCAAAAAUAAAUAAAUAAAUAAAUAAAGAUGGCACAAGAACUUUAAUAAUUAGUUUGAUACACUGUAGAUCUUGUUACCUACAAGUUAUUGGAUAUCUGAUUUGGCUUCAGCUGGAACUAAUUUGCAAACAAUCUUCUAUACCAGUGAAAUAAAAUGCAGGCUUUUUUUACUCAAGUGCUGGGCAGAGAGAGGCGAAGGUUGCAGCUGAAAGGCGUUCGGUUGAUGAAAGAGUGAGAAAAAUUAUUGAACUGAAGAACAAGGUGAUAUUUCAUAAAAUGUCCUCUCUCUCUUUCUUAUAUGCUGACUUGCCUUAAUCAACAAUAAAUUCUUAACCUCUUUAGAUGACCUAACCCUGCAGGUUUGUUCAGGCAAUGACAAUAAUUUUGUGGUGAUUAUUCCGUUAAUAGUGUUAUUUUCCUUGCAUGUUUAAUAAGCUGUUCUUUAGAUAAUUGCCCUUUGAAGAGCGAAAAGAAGAAACAUGAAAAGGUUGGUAUUAGCUUGUGGUUGGUGGUGAAGCUGUCAAUUCUGUCGAGGAUUUGACCCCUGAUUGCCUUGGCUGGGCUGGACUUGUCUAUGAGCAUGUCCUUGGAGAAGAGAAGAGAAGUACACGUUUGUGGAAAAUGCGAAGAAUACCCAUUCUUGCACUGUAUUGAUCAAAUUGUACAUUUCUUAAUAAAAAAUUGUCUAGCAUGAUCAUACAAUUGCUCAAAUAAAGGAUGCUGUUCGUGAUGGAUUAAAAGCAGUAAAAAAAUACUAUCGAAGAUGAGGCAGUUAUACUGGGGGGGUGGAGCCUUUGAGAUGGCAGCCAGAAAAUAAUACUGGAUCAAUGAAGUGUGGAAAGCCGUCCAAAGGCAUGCUCAGCUGGGUGUGGAAGCUUUUGCCGAUGCUCUUCUCGUGAUCCCUAAGACACUUCCGUAGACUUGACACGGAAGAAGUGGUUAUUUCUCUCACGGGGGAACAUGAUAGAGCGAACGUUGUGGGAUUAAACCAACAUACUGGCGAGCCUAUUGACCCUCAAAUGGAAGGCAUCUUUGACAGUUAUUCAGUGAAGCGCCAAAUCAUCAACUCCGGUCAUGAUGUUGCUAACAUCUCGACUGCCUGUAAUUGCAAACCAUCUGCUAUUGCUUGAUGAAAAUGAAGUGAUUCGUGCUGGCCUUAACAUGCGGAAACCCACUUAAACCUAAGGCGUCUUCAGCUCUAUACAGUCUCUCCGAGGAAAAAACCUGUUUUUAUUGCUUUUGUGUGAGUUGAAUGGCUUGCAAAAUAGGCGCUGGGAACCAUGGAUUGAGCUAAUCGAGUCUCUAAAGGGAAGCUACAAAAGGAGUGGAUGCAAAUUUACUCCCCAUUUUGCAUGAUUAUCGACUUAUAAUUGAAGUAUUCGACCUGUUUUUAUUAUGGAAUUGUUAGCAUAGAAUUUAUCUUCUUUUUUUUGUUUUGACAUUGUCUAUGAUCAAUUUUCAAGUGUUUUCCUUCUUUUCUCAGUGACUGAGUUGCUACAUAUGUUCUCUCUUUCAGUUUGUAUAAUUUCUACUGUUUAUUUUGA